UACGUAGGGUGCGAGCGUUGUCCGGAUUUAUUGGGCGUAAAGAGCUCGUAGGCGGUUUGUUGCGUCGGCCGUGAAAUCUCCACGCUUAACGUGGAGCGUGCGGUCGAUACGGGCAGACUUGAGUUCGGUAGGGGAGACUGGAAUUCCUGGUGUAGCGGUGAAAUGCGCAGAUAUCAGGAGGAACACCGGUGGCGAAGGCGGGUCUCUGGGCCGAUACUGACGCUGAGGAGCGAAAGCGUGGGGAGCGAACAGG
rnacentral:rRNA from 1 species